CAGAGAGUUUAUCCACGAAGGAUAGCGGUUCUGAUCCCCCGUCACCAAAAAAAAAAAAGAUCCAACCAGAUUAAUCUAUUAAAUAAUAAUGCAAAAAACUUUAAAAUAAUGAAAAAAGUGGAGGCUCGUGGAAUCAUUAGGAUUGAUAGGAUGGUUAAAAUCCAGCAACAGAACCACAUGAUUCUACAAUUUAAUUUUCCUGUUAGAAUUGGAUCGUAGAAUACAACCAUAUGAUCAUAACAUCCGGAUCGAGAGAAUAUAACAACCAUGGUUCUACUUUCUUCAAAUAUCUACCAAGGGUCUAUAAUUUAACAUCUAAUUUUCUGCAGCUUAUGAUUUUUAUUGGUAUAUUAUAUUAUAUUCAUUUAUCUGAAAUUGAUUGAAGGAAUCAGUAAAGUUGCAGACUGCAUCAAUGGUGGUCAGCAGUCAGAAUUAUGCUAUCACAAUUCCACUAGUUAUCCUUUUACUUUGAUUAAUGGUAAUUAU
rnacentral:lncRNA from 1 species